AAUAUUGCGCAAUGGUGGAAACCCUGACGCAGCGACGCCGCGCGAGCGAAGAAUGACUUCGUGUCGUAAAGCUCUCUCCUAUGGGACGAAGAUCACCGUAUCACGGCGGUUUGUCGGUACCACAGGGUGAAGCCACGACUCCCUACGUGCCUUCCGUCGUGGUAAUGUGUAGGGGGCCAGCGUUGUCCGGAAUUACUGGGCGUAAUGGGUGCGUAGGCGGGCUGUUAAGUCUGAUGUGAAAACCUAAGGCUUAACCUAAGGAAUGCAUUGGAAACUGACGGUCUAGAGUGCAGGAGAGGGAAGCGGAAUUCCCGGUGUAGCGGUGGAAUGCGUAGAUAUCGGGAGGAACACCAGUGGCGAAGGCGGCUUCCUGGACUGUAACUGACGCUGAGGCACGAAAGCUGGGGUAGCAAACA
rnacentral:rRNA from 1 species